rnacentral:rRNA from 1 species
GAUGAACGCUGGCGGCGUGCCUAAUACAUGCAAGUCGAGCGGCAGCACGGUCUUCGGACUGGUGGCGAGCGGCGGACGGCUGAGUAACGCGUAGGAAUAUACCCCAAAGUGAGGGAUAACUGCCCGAAAGGGUGGCUAAUACCGCAUGUGGUCUUCGGACUAAAGCCUUCGGGCGCUUUGGGAAUAGCCUGCGUAAGAUUAGCUAGUUGGUGAGGUAAUGGCUCACUAAGGCGACGAUCUUUAGCUGGUCUGAGAGGAUGACCAGCCAGACUGGAACUGAGACACGGUCCAGACUCCUACGGGAGGCAUCAGUAGGGAAUUUUCCACAAUGGGCGAAAGCCUGAUGGAGCAACGCCGCGUGCAGGAUGAAGGCCCUCGGGUCGUAAACUGCUUUAUGUGCGAAGAAUAUGACGGUAACACAUGAAUAAGGGUCGGCUAACUACGUGCCAGCAGCCGCGGUAACU